UACGUAGGUGGCGAGCGUUGUCCGGAAUUACUGGGUGUAAAGCGCGUGUAGGCGGGAGGCCAAGUCUGCGGUGAAAUCGCUCGGCUCAACUGGGCGGGGUCCGUGGAAACUGGUCACCUGGAGGACGGUAGAGGCGAGUGGAACUCCCGGUGUAGUGGUGAAAUGCGUAGAGAUCGGGAGGAACACCAGUGGCGAAGGCGGCUCGCUGGGCCGGACCUGACGCUGAGACGCGAAGGCGUGGGGAGCGAACGGG
rnacentral:rRNA from 1 species